UGGAGUGUGACAAUGGUGUUUGUGUUCUCUGCAAUCAAACGCCAUUAUCACACUAAAUA
rnacentral:pre_miRNA from 2 species